AAUCACGCGCUCCGGUUACGCGAGAGAUGCGCGCGCCACCCUGCACGCUCCCACUCGUUACGCUCUUUUGCACAGAAUUAAUUUCGCCAGAAAAACGGGCGCGCUGAUUUUGUUUUGGGGGGCUGAGGGUCAUCUCGGAAGAGUGCAGGACGUAGUUUGGAAACAUGAAGGACCGCACGCAAGAGCUCAGGCAUGGUAAGGACACUGAAGAGGAGGAGGAGGUGGCAGUGGGCAUGGAGAAAGGCUUCAUGGAUGAGUUCUUUGAACAGGUGGAAGAGAUACGCGGCUUCAUCGACUCGCUGGCUGAGAAGGUAGAGGAGGUAAAGCGGAAACACAGCGCCAUCCUUGCCGCACCGAAUCCAGACGAAAAAACGAAAGCAGAACUCGAGGAGCUGAUGACAGACAUCAAGAAGCUGGCUAACAAAGUGCGCUCGAAGUUAAAGAGUAUCCAGCAGACCAUCGAGCAGGAGGAAGGACAGAACAGGUCUUCAGCUGAUCUGAGGAUACGGAAGACACAACACUCCACUCUGUCACGUAAAUUCGUGGAGGUGAUGUCAGAGUACAAUGCGACGCAAUCGAGUUACAGGGAGCGCUGCAAGGGGCGGAUCCAGAGACAGUUGGAGAUUACUGGAAGAAACACGACAAAUGAGGAGCUGGAAAGCAUGCUGGAAAGUGACAACCCAGCCAUCUUCACUUCGGGGAUCAUCAUGGACUCCAACAUCACCCAGCAGGCCAUGAACGAGAUCGAAACCCGGCACAAUGAGAUCAUCAAACUGGAGAACAGCAUCCGCGAGCUGCACGACAUGUUCAUGGACAUGGCCAUGCUGGUGGAGAGUCAGGGUGGCCUCAUGAACAACAUCGAAUCAAACGUGCGCAAUGCACAGGAAUACGUGGAAAAAGCCAAACAAGACACUAAAGCUGCUAUUAAAGUGCAAAAAACAAGCAAGGUGGUGAGUAACGCCUUAAUCCGUCCAAUACUGCUAUCUAAAAUCUCUCUUUCUUUCUUUUCUCUCUUUUCCCCUGUCCCUCUCUUCCUCCUUCCCCACUUCUUCCUCCCCCUCGGUCCUGCUCGUGGUGCUGUGUGUGUGUGUGUGUGUGUGUGUGCACGGUCAGGGAGAGAUGAUCGACCGCAUAGAGUAUAACGUGGAACACGCAGUGGAUUACGUGGAAAGGGCCGUAUCAGACACCAAGAAGGCAGUAAAGUACCAGAGCAAAGCGCGGAGGAAGAAAAUUAUGAUUCUUAUCUGCUGUGUUGUGUUAGGGAUCGUUAUUGCUUCCACCGUGGGUGGGGUGUUGGCCUGAAGCACAUGACGAUUCGAGCGUACAGCAAAAAUAUCACGCAAAACACACACAGAAAAAAUAAAGAUACAACAAACAUGCUGUUCACUGACAGCGUAAAAAUCGUGUAAAGACGGGGAAAGGAGGAAACGGUGUACUUUUUUCCGCAUGAGGCUCUAUUUUGUAAAUGUGCAGUUGUGUUGCCCUGGAUGUCCUGUUGUCCCUGUAUAGAGAAAAAAAAAAAAGAAAUUUAUUUUUCAAGUGCUAUUAAGAAUUGCUGUAUUAAUACAAAGAAACUCUCGCCUGAUCGCCUGCCAUCGUGUUUCCGCAGUGUUGAGAGAGAGAGAGCCAAGCUGGACAUGAGAAUAUUUUUACAUAUUCUUUCUUCCGUAAACGAUAUUAAAGUCGAGAAGGUCAACGAUCAGAUAGUUAAAAAAGAAGACAAGGGUAAAAAAAGAUUUCCAGACUGAAUUGGUUCAGUGAUUUUACCGCUUUUUUUAAUCAGUAGAAGCGUAUUCCCAAAAAAACAAGAGUGUAAACUGAUGAUUAUCAAUAAACUAGUUUAAAAUAUGAAUCGAAACACGAGCGGAAGUGUUGAUUUCUACAGAGCUGCUGAUGUGACCUGAUGUUUUUUUCCCCCAACAGAAAUGAAUUAAUAUAUUAUUUUCAUAUUUUCAUUUGAUAUUAUCAUCUCCCCGUGCUUGGUGGGUUGCCUCUGGGUGCUCUGCUUUCCUCCCACAGUCCAAAGACAUGCUUCUAGGCUGAUUGGAGUCUCUAAAUAGCCCAUAGUGUGUAAUUGAAUGAGUGUGUUUGUGUGCCCUGCCAUGGGUUGGCACUCCGUCCAGGGUGUAUCCUGCCUUGAGGCCCAGAUGACGCCUGAGGCUCCCCGUGACCCGAGUAUAGAUCGGAUCAGCGGUACAAUGAAAUGAAAUGAAAAAUUAUAUGAUUAUGUCCAUAAUCAAGAAAUCUGACCAUGGGGGAAAAAAAACACACUAUUAAGCAAAAAAGAAAACAAGGUAAGGGUCAAAAGGUCAGAGUAUAUGAACAGGCUACAGGUUUAACUCGAGAAUAAAACCUACGCACAGUGUAUGAGGCACGACUUCUGUAUCUUCUGAACUAUUGUAUCUCUAGGCAUGGAUUUAUUAUCUCGUGGCCACAUCAAAAACUGAGCAUACAACUUAAUAUAUCACGGGAAAGUCGUCCAGCUUAUCGAUCGAUGCUUAAUGUUCCUGUGGUUUGGCACGCUAUCAGCAUCUGUCUUUUGGUUCUGUUUUCAAAUACUUGUCAUGUACACCAACCAGGCAUAACAUUAUGAUCACCUGCCUAAUGUUGUGUUGGUCCCCCUUCUGCUGCCGAAACAGUCCUGACCCGUCCUGCACUGUGUAUUCUGGCACCUUUCUAUCAGAACCAACAUUAACUUCUUCAGCAAUUUGAGCAACAGUAGCUCGUCUGUUGGAUCGGAUCACACGGGUCAGCCUUAGGUCUCCACGUGCAUCAAUGAGCCUUGGCCGUCCAUGUCCCUGUCGCUGGUUGACCACUGUUCCUUCCUUGGUCCACUUUUGAUAGAUACUGACCACUGCAGACCGGGAACACCUCCACAAGAGUUGCAGUUUUGGAGAUGCUCUGAUCCAGUCAUCUAGCCAUCUUGCCAAAUUUUUACGCUUGUCCAUUUUUCCUGCUUCUAACACAUCAGCUUUGAGGACUAAAUGUUCACUUGCUGCCUAAUAUAUCCCACCCACUAACAGGUGCCAUGAUGAGGAGAUCAUCAGUCUUAUUCACUUCACCUCUCAGUAAUCAGUGUUAUUCAUGGCACCUCUCAGUGGUCAUAAUGUUAUGCCUGAUUGGUGUAUUCCAACCAGUUUAGUUCUCUAAAAUAUUAACAAGCUAAUUUAAAACAACCCCAACCAGCUACUGGUUUAUUCCGACUUAUGUACUCGUAUUCAGUCCCAUCAGUAGUUGUAUGCACAGUGGAUUCGUUCGGUUGAUUUAUCAUUGUCUCACUUUUUCUUUUUCUUUUUUUUGCAAAACGAAGUGAGGCAUUUCUCAAGAAACUGAACUCCUGGCCAUAAUCUAUUAAUUCAUGGCUGCAUAAAACGUCCCGUCAGCAGCUCUGUACCUUCACACAUUAUACACUUUAAACUCCACAGUUCCGAACCCAAAAAUAAAAAUAACUCCCCCCUUAAAUAUUUAAUAUUUAUUACACUCUGGUGAAAUUUGUAUAUUUCCGCUACUUGAGAAUGUAAAGUUAAAAAGGAAAAAGCGUUUUUAAAUAUUUAAAGGGGGAGAUUUUGCCAGUUUUUCUGUGUAUGCACUAUUAUUAUUAUUAUUAUUAUUAUUAUUAUUAUUAUUAUUAUUAUUAUUAUUAUUAUCUCCUUCAUUAUAGCCCUUCUUGCAGCUGCUUCUUUGCCAGUGGCUCUAGUUUCCAUUUUGCCUUAUUUCUGUAUACUACAUUUAGGUGUGAGUGUAUAUAUGUGAGUGUGUGUGUGUGUGCGUGUCCGUGUGUGUGUGUGUGUGUAUGUGACCUGCAUGAAUGAACAUUGUGUGCAUGCCAAGUGGGGGCCAAGUUUUGUAUGUGUGUGUAUUAAAAGCCUGUUGAAGUGUCUGUAAUAUGCCACUUGUGUCUUUGUUCUGUAGAAAUUGUACAUUACUAUAGUAUCGGGGUGAUGUCAAAGUCCCUCUGCACAGAUGCUGCCACUGAUUAACUGACAGUGUGUAUGGAACACGAUGUGAUUAUUGAAUAUAUAUUGUCGGUGGAACUGAUCAAGGUCAUGAUUCCUACGUUUGUGUCUCACUCGAUAUAUAAUAAGAAUAGACUCAAAGACUCGAGCGAGAAAAAUCCAAAAGUGCUGUUUUCUUCUCGUUUUGUGAACACUGCUCAGUCGGCUCGUUCGGUCGGGUUUUAACGCAGCAACCGGACCACCUAACUUACGUCACUGCCUCUGCGUUGUGAAUUAAUGUUAUGUAUGUUUGCUUUUUUGGGGGAGGGGGGGUUCAUUUUUAAGUAAAUCUUGUCUGAAUACCA